rnacentral:rRNA from 1 species
UACGUAGGGGGCAAGCGUUGUCCGGAUUUAUUGGGCGUAAAGAGCGUGUAGGCGGCUUUACAGGUCCGUUGUGAAAACUGGAGGCUCAACCUUCAGAGGUCGACCCAAACCCCCUGGCUAGAGUCCGGAAGAGGAGAGUGGAAUUCCUGGUGUAGCGGUGAAAUGCGCAGAUAUCAGGAAGAACACCCGUGGCGAAGGCGGCUCUCUGGGACGGUACUGACGCUGAGACGCGAAAGCGUGGGGAGCGAACAGG